AGAGUUGGGAGGUUUCUAGCAGACCGGUCUGCCUGCUGGGGCUUCCUCCGCGGGGCCCUAUGGUCCGCCGGGUUUUAGCUAUGUGGCCUGUCCCACAGCUGCUAUGCUGUCCCAGUCCCUAGUGCGCCCAGUCAAGCCACAGACCUGCCUCUGAGGAAGGGAGUGAGGCAGGGAAUAAGCCGGGGCCUCUGGGGACUCAGACCUGCUUGGGAAUAACCGAGUGUACACAUGGAUAAAAUGAAACCCGGAGGCUGUUACCUUUGAUCUGGGAUGGGGCCACUGUGAAGCAGAGGUACCUGUCAGCAUACAGGGAAGAGGGGAAUUCAGAGCUGGGGCCUGGUCCUGUUGCUGUGAUUAAGUCGCUGGAUGAUCUUGGGCAAGUUCUUUCCCCUCUCUGAUCCAGUUGUCAUAUCUGAUCAGUGGAGGAUUAGGCCAGAUGGCCCCUAAGGGUGUGUUGAGGGAUUCUCUUUUCCCUCUGGGCUCAGUGGAGGUGGGAGGGAUUCCAGAAGUUUGAACAUUUUGCCCCCUGAGAAAUCACAAUCUGAGUGCUGUUUUUCAGGCCUCACCUAGGCUGCCUUCUCCAACCUUGUGCCUGGGACCCAGAGGGCAGAAAUUUCCCUCUUGUGCUUAUAAGCCAGUUAGGAAGAACCUGCCCUUAGCUUGGGCCCUGCAGAUUUCCCCUCUGCUUUGGAAACUCCUGAAGCCCAGGGGAGACAGCCAGAGUGGACUUUCCUCGGGCCCAGCGCCCUGCCCCCAGCCCUGCCAGGCAGCCUCUGUUCACCCAUUGCACUGUCCUGCUGGACUGACGCUUGCUUCAGUGACACAGGGCAUGCAUCUAACCUUCAAAGCCUCCUAAUCCAGCCGGGGACAUGGGGGCUUCCAGCAACACCCCUGGCCAGCAACCAAUCAACACUGACCCCUCAGCUUCGUGGCAUGGGGUUUGCUCUAUGACCCCAGACAGGACUCCUACAAGGAGCAACUAGUUUUGCUCAAGACACCAUAAUGGCAUGGGGGCAGGCUCGCUGAGGGCCGGGACUUGGAGGGUUAAGCCUUCCCUCCUGCCUGCCUGCCCCCUGCAGCGCUGGCCUCAGCUGCUUAGAAUCCCUGGGGUCCUGUAGGGCCCUCACGCCAGAUGGGCAGCAGCACCAGGAGAGGAGGAGAAGGAGAAGUGGAAACAGGCCUCAGGGUACCCCCAGGAGGGGAGGGGAAGAGGAGGGAUGGGGGGACAGAGAUGGCUGCGAGGUAGUGGUGCCCCACUGGCCUAUAAUGGAGAAGGAGGACCCCUCUCCUGGUGUCUGGCGGGGGGCAAGGGUUGCCCAGGGACUUGGGAGCUGUGGGGAGAUGUCCACACCAUCAGGGCACCGCUGUCCCGCUCAGCCGCACAGCCCUCAGAGCCAGCUCUUUGCGUGAAACCCUAGCCGAUGCUGGCUCCCGCUCCUUUUUCUUUUUUCUUAAUAAGGUCGAAUCAGAGUGAGUCAGAGAGCCAAGUUUCCUGUUAGGCUCUGUUUGAAUAAACUCUGCUCUGAACAUAGCUUGGGCCUCUAAACAGGCUCCCCCGGCCAGGGCUUCGGCCCUGCCAGCCGUCCCUGCUGAGACCCAAGACCUAGGGUCCACCGGAUAACUGUAGUCCUGGCCACUCCCAGGGGGAAGCCUGUUCCGCUCUCAGAACUUCAAGGUCUUCAUCUGUCACUUGGAGUAAUAAUACCUUAGUACUUCUCUUGCAGCACGUUUGGGAGGAUGAAAUGAAAAGUACCCAGCGCAAUGCCAGGCAUCCAGCCGCUGUUUUCUUUUCUCUUAACUCCAGAGAGAAGAGAGGGCUUUGUCUCCCGAGGGUGCAUUUCUCUCUUUCCUGUUUUUAUCUCUCUUCUGUGUUCUUCAUUGCUGGGGUGGGCCUUGCGCAGCCCAGAGCCUGGGAAGGCUCCUCCGCCUGCCCCCUGCCCCGCCUCCUCCCUCCCCUCUGCCCCUCCCUUUGACCUCUUUCUCCCUUCCAGUCUGGGUCUCCCGCAGUGGCUGACAAGGCCCAGCUGGGGCAGGGCCAGUGGCUCUGUGAGCCCAGGGGAGCCUGCCUGUUUCCUCCUCUCCACAUGCGGGGUGAGGCACCUCAGUAGCUGGAGGUGGCCUAGUGUUCUUAGGUGGAAGCCUGGAGAAUGCGGGUCUGAAAGAGACCUGAGCAGGCUGUGGAGGGUACAGAGCCUGGGUGAAAUGAGGGCUGUACUCUCUCACACCAGGCCAGGCAGGGCCUGAGCUGACUGGGAGGGCAGUGGGGGAAGCAGCCCUGUCCCUACAGGCUGGAUUCAUACUUAUAUUUUUAAGACCCAGGCAUGUGGUUGAGGCUUACCGCCAGCCUCUGCCACUAGGAACCAGUUUCAAGGAAUCCUAGGAGGGCUCAUGAUAUGGGGCUGAAGGAACCUGUUGACAGUGCACGACUUUAUUAUACACCUACUGUGUGCUUAGCUCCGGGCUGGACUGCCCUGUUGUUGGGACUCCUGUGGAGCAGCCAGCAUAUGCCGUGAUACUGUGAUGGAACUCCAAAAACAUCCAAAGCCAAACCUGUUGUCCUUGAGUCAAUUCUGACUCUUGGUAACCCUGUGUGUUACAGAGUGUACUGCUCUGUAAGGUUUUCUUGACCAUAAUCUUUACAGAAGCAGAUCACCAGGCCUUUCUUCCACGAAACUGCUAACCUUUCAGGUAGUAGUCGAGCACGACUGGAAACCAUUUGGGCCAACAUUGGAGCUCCAGGCUCUGGAAAAUCAUGGGGGAGAGAGAGGCCAGCAGGCCUGACUGGCAGAGGUUUUGGAGAGCAGAGAAGGGACCAGAGCUGUUGAGUCUCUCACUGCUGUAAGAGACCAGGAGACCCGCUGUGAGUCAGAAAGGUUCUGAUGGGGUGGGGGAUGAGAACAGGCCCCAGGGUGCCCCUGUCCUCUUUCACCCAGGCUGCAGCGCUGGGUCUCCACCCUAAGACCACAGACUGUGGAGCCCUGGCCUAGGCACCUAGGUGGGUGGCUCAAGGCUGCGAGUGGGAUUUGUGCUGAAUUGGACAUUGCAGCCCCAGCCUGGGCAGUGGAGGAUGUGGACCCAGCUGCUGCCUCUGGGAUGUGGGGCUGGAGGACGUGCUGAGUGAGGAGGCAGGGUGAGCUGGCACAGAAAGCGCUGACUAUGCAGGGACAGGACCACCAAGUGACCACUGCCAGCUGGGCCUUGAGCACACCCCUCCCCUGCAGCCACAUCUGGUGCAAUGGCGGAGGAGGAAGGGGGAACUUGGGUCCCCAGAGCUAAAGCAGCCGUGGAGGGGGCCCGUGGAGGGGGCUGGACCCUUUGGUUUGGAAGUGUCUCUCUUCAGGGGCGGAACUCAGGAGCAGCCCGGAAGUGGGCGGGGGGGUUGAGGUCAGAGCCUGUGUGAGGGAUUGAUGGGGUGGGGGAAGGGAAGCAACCCACCCUUCCUAGGACCUCGGGAAUUCGAUGGCUCUGGCCACUUACCACUCUGUUUUCUCUCCUAGCUAUCCAGCCCCUCCCCCAAAGUUCCCUGGGGAAUUGGAAAUACCAGAACUGCUAUAAUAGUCUGGGCAUGGGGCAAGGCUCAGUGGAGGCAGGAGGCCCCUACGGCCCCCUCGGCCACCAGCCCAGCCAGCUUCCCCCCUCCCUGACUUUCUCUCCCCCCAAAGAGUUUGGUGCAGGCGUGGCUUUGGGGCCUGCUCAUGGGUAACCUUUGGAUGCGGCUCCCCACCCCGCUCAGUGAGGGCCGGGGUGGGGGGGGAGCUGGUGGAAGCAGGGAGCACCCUUAUUACAGGAUUGGGACAGAGAGGAGAGGCGCCUCAUCCCAGGGACCUUGCCGGGUGGAGGGUUUGUGCUGUAUUUGUUGGGUGGUGAUGGGGGUCCUGCAGCCCUGCCUGCUCAGACUCAGGCAGGGGAAUGCUGGGCGGGAAGGCCUCUUCUGUUAGGUAGCUCAACCAGCACAGGACGGGGAGGAGGCAACAGAGUCCCUUGCCCAAGGGAGGAGGGUGGCAGGACCAAGCAGGAUGCCAGUCCCUUGGGCCGUAGCCCAACAAAGGCCUGGAGAGCGAGUAGGAGAACGAAGGCAGGACCACAAUGGCUUUGACAAAUAAUAACCUGGUUAGACUAAGGGAAGACUCCUUUCUCCUCUCUCUCUCUUUUCUUUUGCCAGUAACACCCCCCCAUCUUUUCAUUCACUCAUUCGUUUUCUCGGUCUCUGUCUCCCUCAGUCUGUCUUUGCCUCCAUCCUGUCUUGCGGUCUCCACCUGUCUCUGUGUUUCCGUUCCUGCAUAUCUCUUUCUUUCUCACUCCUUCACUGUCUCUAUCUCUACUGCUGUUUCUUCCCGUUACUCAUUCAUUAACCCAUUCACUUGCCCAGUCACCUCGUUCCCUGGGUGCCUGCUGGAGUUACUGAGAAGCUUGAUGCUAGCUGCUGGAGUUACUGAGAAGCCAGACCUGUCAGGGCCCCACAGAGCUCACGGACAAGACUGCGUUACAGGGUAACUGCCAUGACCCACUGCUUUCUAUUUCCCACUGAUCACAGGAGCUCCCGCUGUCCAGAGGAAGGGAAUGUAAGCAGAGGAACCCUGGUGACGCCGUGAUUAAGCACUUGGCUGCUAACCAAAAGGUUGAUGAUUUGAACCCACCAACAGCUCUGCGGGAGAAAGCUGUGGCAAUCUGCUUCCACAGGGAUUUACAGCCUUGCCAAGGUCAUGGAAGCUCCACAGAUACAUCCAGACUCCCUAAGGGACCGAAUUACUGGGCCGAGGGCUAUGGGGACCAUGGUUUCGGGGAACAUCUAGCUCAUUGGGCAUAUUGUAAAGAAAAUGUUUUACAUUUUACUUUGGUGAGUAGUGUCUGGGUUCUUAAAAGCUUGUGAGUGGCCAUCUAAGAUGCUCCACUGGUCUCACCCCAUCUGGAGCAAGAGAGAAUGCAGAAAACAAAAGACACAAGGGAAAGAUUAGUCCAAAAGUCUAAUGGACCACAAGUACCAUACCAUAGCCUCUGCCAAACUGAGCCCAGCACAACUAGAUGGUGCCUGGCUACCACCACCGACUGCUUGACAGGGAUCACAAUAGAGGCUCCUGGUCAGAGCUGGAGAAAAAUGUAGAACAAAAUUCUAACUCACACACACACACAGAAAGACCCUUACUGGUCUGAUGGAGACUGGAGAAACCCGAACUGUAAGGCCCCCAGGCAUCCUUUUAACUCAGUAAUGAAGUCACUCUUGAGGUUCACCCUUCAGGCAAAGAUUAGACAGGCCCAUAAAAAGAAAUGAGACUAAAUGGGCACACCGGCCCAGGGGAAAGGAUGAGAAGGCAGGAGGGGACAGGAAAACUGGUAAUGGGCAACCCAAGAUCGAGAAGGGGUGAGUGUUGACAUGUCGUGGGGCUGGCAACCAAUGUCACAAAAACAAUAUUUGUACUAAUUCUUUAAUGAGAAACUAGUUUGUGCUGUAAACUUUCAUCUAAAGUACAAAAACAAAAACAUUUACAGCCUUGGAAACCCUGUGGGGGCUGUUCUACUCUGUCCUAUAGGGCCACUAUGAGUCAAAAUCACUUCAAUGGCAUACAACAACAGAAUGCAAGCUCCAUGAGGGCAGAGAUCUUUGUUUUGUUCAUGGCUGUGUCUCAAGUACCUAGAAUCAUGUCUGGCACAUAAACCAAACCAAAUCCAUUGCCGUAGAGUCAAUUCAGACUCAUAGUGACCCUACAGGACAAGGUAGAACUGCCCCAUAGGGUUUCCAAGGAGUGGCUGGUAGAUUCGAACUGCCAACCUUUUGAUUAGCAGCUGAGCUCUUAACCACUGAGCCACCAGGGCUCCGUCUGGCACAUAGGAAGUACUUAAUAAGUAUUUGUUGAAUAAAUAAAUACAUGGUGAAUUUCCUGUUCAUUUUCUUUGACUGUUUUCUUUGUAAUGUUCAUCUUUUUAGUAUUGAUUUAUAAGAUGUAUUACACUUUUUUUUUUUUAUUACACUUAGCAGCUUUUUCAUAUAUCACUCUUUGUCAUAUAUUGUGCAACUAAUUUUUAAAACUUGUCACUUGCCUCACGUUUUAAUAGAGUUUCUUGAUGUACUGAAGUGCUUCAUUUUUAGGCUGUCAAAUUAUUAAUUGUUUCUUUAUGGUCUCAGACUUUAUUGUUUUACUUAGAAUGACCUUUGCCCUCACCAAGGAUGUAUAAAUUUCCAAUUAAAUUUUCUUCUAUGAUUUUAUGAUUUCAUUUUACUUUCUUAUAUUUAACUACUUUAUUUCUAUGUAUGAUGAGAAGUAAGAACUUAACUCAAAAAAAAAAAUUAAACUACUACUAUCCCAACAUGAAUCAUAAAUGAAUUGUCAUUUCCCGGGGAUCUGAAAGGCCACCUUAACCAUAUACUGAAUAUUUUUUUCUUUGGCUGGGCUUUCAAUUCUGUUUCAUUAGCCUAUCAGAUCAUUUUUAUUCUAGUAUUGCCCUAUUUUAAUUAUUGU